ensembl:lncRNA
CGCUACGUUGACACUAAUUACAGCCUUCUUUUAAUUAACAGGAGUGACAGUGGUUAAUUUUGAGUAAACUGUUGAGUGUGUGAAACACUGAUUAGCACUACUGUAGUCAAAUCCAGAUGCAUACAGAUGAUAAGAUGCAAAAGCUUGGUCAUCCCAACAGCAGUCACUGGCAGGUUGAGGAGGCAGAUGAUCCAAGUACUGGUACGCCGUCUUGCUGUUCCAUGAAGCCAUUUAGUGCUGCUGUUGAUGACACGGUCUCCCUGGCGUUUCCAUCUCUAAACUCAGAAGGACAAGCAGAGUGCCUUACGUACAUCUCACGUCUGGCCUCGCAAUAAUCACGUGAUUUCAUUUUUCUUGAGAUCAAGACGUAAUUUUUUGUUAUCUCGAGACAAGAAAGCUUGCUUUCCUGUGUCAAGUUAAGUUAUGCAAAUUCAGAAAGAAAAGGCAUGUCUAAAGAUAAUUUGAUGAUUUCUCCCAACGAGAUGAAUUGCUUUCUGGAGAUAAUUAUGGAGAACCCAUAAAGUAGUUAAUUUGAUCACACAAGCCCAGAGAGGCAACACUGCCAGCAGUUUAAAUAUUUUUAAUUAGUUGUUAUCUUGAGAUAACAAAUCUUAUUUUCACAUGAUACCGAGUUUCAUGGAUUCUGGAAAAAACAGAAGGACAAAACAAUUAUUGGGUCCUAAAAAUGAGUUUUUUUUAUCACACAGUUCAGUUGUAAUUAACGCUUUAACUUAUCUAUUUCCGGCCAGGCUAUUCUCCUCAAUGUUAACGGAUCCAAAAUAUAUCUCUAACAGAAAGACACAUUUCAGAAGUAAUGAUAGGAAUUUGCAUUUUGCUAAGCUGGUUUCCUCAUAAUAAAUAUUAACUUGUGAGCUUGAGAUUAUGGAACAGACAGUAGUGCAAGCACAACCUUUCUCCUUCUCUGUAGGAGAUCACCUGGUGGAUGUAUUUUUUUGUAAUUAUUAGUUAUACAUGCUGUGUCACCAAAGCUUUAAAAGGUGAUUUUAUUUGUGUAGGACGUGAUGUAUGUUGGACCUUUUCAUCUGUUUCUUUCUCUGUUCUAAACUAAUUUUAUGAUCUUGUUUGAUUCUGCUAACCUAGUGUACAGAAUAAAGUUUUACUCACUACAACAAUGCUUUUUGUUUUUUUCUUUUUUAAAUAGAAUGGGACUCUAUUUUAGUUAUGGAGGCCACCAUGUUUCAUAUGUUCAAAAACACAAGUGCGUGAUGAGCCAUCCCGGGGAUACAGA